rnacentral:tRNA from 1 species
UGUGGGUUGGCUCAGUGGUUAGAACUUAUGUCUGGUCACCGAAAGAUCGCGGGAUCGAAUCCCGCUAUAGGUAG